rnacentral:rRNA from 1 species
GACGAACGCUGGCGGCGUGCUUAACACAUGCCAGUCGAACGGAAAGGCCCCAGCUUGCUGGGGUACUCGAGUGGCGAACGGGUGAGUAACACGUGGGUGAUCUGCCCUGCACUCUGGGAUAAGCCUGGGAAACUGGGUCUAAUACCGGAUAGGACCGUGCUUUAGUGUGUGCGGUGGAAAGUUUUUCGGUGCAGGAUGAGCCCGCGGCCUAUCAGCUUGUUGGUGGGGUAAUGGCCUACCAAGGCGGCGACGGGUAGCCGGCCUGAGAGGGUGUACGGCCACAUUGGGACUGAGACACGGCCCAGACUCCUACGGGAGGCAGCAGUGGGGAAUAUUGCACAAUGGGCGCAAGCCUGAUGCAGCGACGCCGCGUGGGGGAUGACGGCCUUCGGGUUGUAAACCCCUUUCGGCAGGGACGAAGCUUUUGUGACGGUACCUGCAUAAGAAGCACCGGCUAACUACGUG